AAGGAGUUUCACCAGUUUCCAGCAAGAGAGAGAAGUUUGCUUGUACCUGCGUUUGCUCUGACAGCUGAGGUAAUCGGGUUGUUCUGCGACUCGUGUGCAGCGGAGUCCCGUUCUGGAUUGGCUGUCUUUCAGGUGACGUCUUCUCGGGAAAGCCCUUCGUGGGUUGCGCGGAAGCUUUAAAGUUGUUGCCGGCUGGUGAAACGCGCUGUUCUGAGCAGUUUUCUUCUUUGGAGACUUUGGUCAGAUAUUUCACGGAGUGUUUUGGAGUCUGGAUGUGACGGCUGUUGAAUGGUCAGCUGCGCUGCUUGUGGUUGAAGUCGGCGACUGUUAGAUGGAAAAUCAGCCCCGGUCAAUCAGUUCUCAAUGACCCAUGCGACUUUUCCGCCGUGGUCAAAGUAGUGGUGCUUCGGCUACUGGGCUUCAACGACUGUGCUUCAGUCCGACUUCUGACCGACCUUUUGACCGAUUUCUGACCGAUUUCUGACCGACUUCUGACAACUAGCUAUUGGGAAAGCAUAGUUUUAAAGGAGGAAGUUAGCUCCGUCCCCCGAUGUGUUUCUCCAAUGAGACGUUGCUACGGAGCUUAGACACGCCCCGUCUAUUGUCCAUUGAUUGUGAUGUCCGUGGAACAUAAUCAUGUUUAUCAGUAACUUCAUAAAGUUUCCUAAUAUUUUUCUGGUACCAAAUGUCAAUAUUUCAUUCACACAGAAUUACAGAGAAUUAUAAAUUCUGCAUUUAGAACUCAAACAUGACACACUUCUUACACACAUAUUACUAGACUGACCUAAUUAUUUGACUCACCCAGAAGCAGAUCGAUGGCGCAGUCCCAUGGCUGGUGUGGAGGCAGCUUUGAAGCUCUCUUGGGGCAGAAAACGUCGCUGAAGGGGGCGUAACAAGAUGGUAUAUCCACAGAAUGUUUAAUGGACUCAAAUGGACUCUCAAUGGAUGUUGCACAGACAGGGAGAUGAUUGGAACUUGGAGAACGUGGAACAGGAAAUUCAGAGAAACAGUCAUUAAAACAGGUGUCGCCCCACUUCAGGACUUUGCCGGUCUUCCAGGAGAGAAUGGGAUUGUGCUGCUCAAACCACGGACGCCCUAAAAUCACGUCAGCGGUGGAUUCCUCCAGAACCAGCAAUGAGAUCUUCUCCACAUGAAGUACACUGAUUUGAAGUAGUAAUGGGCCGACACUUCGACUAACUUAUCGUCUGCUUACAGGUUUUCCAGUUACCGAGUGGCUCUGGUAUGUAGCAGGCGUAGCCGUGGUCGUGAGGUUGAGCUGACGGCAGAGGGCGCCGGAGAUGAAAUUGCCUGCUUCCCAAAAUCAAGGAGUGCGGUAACUGGAAUAGAGACAUCAGCAGCAGUAAGCUUUACAAUAGUGGUGAGUGGUUUCAUCUUGUUAGUAGAAGGGAAGAUGGCACUCACCAUGGGACGAGGAGGACGAAUGGGGCAUGUGGAGAUUACAUGCCCAGGAGCACCACAGUACAGGCACAGAUUCAGGGUCAGCCUUCUCUGCCAUUCAGCAGGAGUCAGACGUGAUGAAUCCACUUGCCUUGCUUCAUGGGCUGGUUCUGGAGGGCUAACAGAGUCUGGCCGGCAGAGGAUGUUGUUGAGCUGUGACUGGCCCUGGUGCUCUUCGAGACACGACUGCAUACGAGUGGCGAAGCAGAUAGAGAGUUGGAUAAACCGUUCAAGCCCGAUGGAAGCCUCCUAUGCAGCGAGAUGCAACCGCACUUGAGGAUCCAAUCCUUGACGAUAAGUGAUUAUAAAGCUUCUCACCGAUAGAAGAAUCCCAGGAGGGUUUUCCAAACACUUCUUUGAAAUGAUUGACGAAACUGGAGUAGGACUGGAUAGCUGGAUGAUUUUGGGACCAGAUGGAAUCGGCCCAUAGAAGUGCUUUGCUGCUCAGUUGUGUAAUCAGGAAAGCCACUUUAGACUGUUCGGUAGGGAACAUGUGUGGUUACAUCUCCAGGACCAGUGAACAUUGCAGGAGGAAACCGUUGCAGUGCUCCGUCGAACCAGAGUGGGGCGUCGGUUUGACCAUAGGACUGGCGUACAGCAGCGGUGUAGGAGUGAUGGCGGUGUGUACGGAAGUGAUGGCUGGUGGAGCUGGCAUGGGUGCUGGGUGCACGUACAGAUGGCUUGGAGACAGAAGAUCACAGUUCAGGGUGGAUAUCGUUGGAGAUCGCUGGAGCAGUUGAGAAGCUGGAGACAGGUGACACUCACACACACGAAAGAGACACAUGAGGUAACUAGGGAUCGCUGGAGACAGGUAAGUAACAAUGGAAGUCCUUAAGGUAAGCAUUCAGGAAUAGUCCUAGUUGUGAACGAGACCGGACGGUGAGUAAUUGUGUGUGAGUGUCUUUUAUGCAUGGUUGAUUGAUGAGGUGAUUGCGUGCAGGUGUGAGUGAUCAGUACUCGGGAGUGGGAGUGUGCUGUGAUUGCUUGGUGUUGGAGCCUGGCAUGUCUGUGACAGAUAAACAGUCUCCACACAAAUGGCAAUCUCAUAUAGCAACAACCUAAUGCCAAGGCUUUUGGGAAAAACAUUUGGUUCGCUUAUAUUUACUAUUCACUUGGUUGGGUCAUCAGUCUGGCGAUGGAAGACAUUUCUCACUGGUAUCCUUUCAUUUUCAGUGGGAGAGACUGGAUUUCUUUAAGAAAGGUUUACUUGCAAGAGUAUAUCCUUGGUCGUGCUGUUGUUCUUCCCUUUGUCAGGUCAUAAACUCAGAAAUAAAAGCUCUGCCAGGAAGACUCAAUGUUACGUCACCUAUUAAGAUCUACCCAAUCAUUAUCUUACACUUGGAGUAUAAAAGAUUGCUGACACAUGUCUGAGUCCGGCAGAUGCUGAUGCCAACCUUCACUUUUGGUGCGAGAUAUAGCUCAUUUAAAACCCAGCCUGACUUUAUCGUUAUCUAAAUUACUGGUAAGUUUUAAUCUAAAACUUAAGCUCCAGUGAACCACUGCUUAAGCAAUGUUCCUCUCUCGAUGUAUGUACAGACCUAUUAUUGUGAUUAUCUAAAUAAUCACACAGAAAACGUUAGCGUUUUUUUAAUUUACUACUUCAAUGUGUUCAUUUUAGACGGGAUAUGUUAAAUGCUACAGUGUCAUUUAAGUUUACAUCAGCCUAUCAUUCAAACGUUCAUUGAGCUGUUGCAGCAAUGAGAGAAAAAAACAUGCAGGUCCUCUCUUCACGAAUUUCUAUUGUUUACUAAUUUCGUUUCAGCAAUAUCAUCAAAGGGCCUAUCAUCAAAGACAUGGCUGUAAUCUUCACCAUUCUCGCGACAUCACUACAUCAGCCAUUUCAUCUCAGUGAUAAGUAUUUUCAUCGUGUUAUGCACUUUGAUGUAGAUUGUGUGUAGAAUCAUACUCUCUCUCUUUUCACAUUCAUAAUCUGUAUUAUGCAGUCGCACGCAUUUGUUAGAGAACGAGAGCUCGUUGUUCAACAUGAGCGCUCGUCGUGCUUGUUCGUGUUGUAACAUAGCAUGUCGUUAACAUGAUUCAACUACCAUUAGUUUUAGAAAGCACAAAACAAUGAAUGGCGUACUAUAUUCGGCUCUAUCGUUGCAAGGCUUGGGGAAACCCCAAUCAUGGUUUAAACCUUAAAGCAACACACACCCAGAUCAUUGCAUCGUAAUCUGAAGUUUAUCAUUAAGAGGUUAAACCGGAAAAAGCAAAUUAACUCAGUGAUUUCACUAUUUUCUACUUAAAUAUGCUAUCUCAGCAGGUUGCGUAGAAUAGCACCGACAUUAGGCCAUCUAUCCAUCCUAAUUGCUGCUCAAUUAAUCUUUGCAAGCGCUGCGAAGUGAAGUAAUUAAGUAACACGACCUUAACAUCUUUUAAAGCUUUGAGUGUUUGGACCACUGUCCAGCAGCGGACAAUAUUUAAAGACAUGCUUUUUGUAACUUUGUUGGGGCAUCUAGUGUCAAAGUAACUUCCUUUUGUGGUACUUGGCUUCAUAUCAUUAGAGGCAGAAACAAUGUGACUUGUGUUCUGUGUGACUAUAAAGGCUAUGUCGUUUGUAUACUGCAUUAUAAACAUGUUAUUCUUGUUAAAAUACUGUAUGUGUUCAUAUUUCCUCAUUUAUGUCUCUGUCUUUGUUCUAUUGCUGCAGACGUCGUGCACCAGAUUUCUAAGCAUAUGUGCAGGAAAGGGACAGUCAAUCUGUACAGCUAAUAGCCUAGUUCAUUCCCAGCAAGACAUUGCGUUACCUUUUUAUACAACUAUAUAUUGCGAUUCGACAUAAAUUCACCAGUUUACUUGAAUAACUUAUUUAGAAAGUAAUACUAAUUCUAGAAUGACUGGGGUGAUUUAAAUGUAAUAAAUAGUGUUUUAUAUGUUUCAGGUAAGUAUUUAGGUUCAGGAAAUGAAUAAAUUAAAUGUAAAAUAACACUGCAUAGUCUUCACUGCAUAAAAUUAAUAUAAUUAAUUUAUUUUGGUGUGAAAUUGCGGGCGCGAUUGCUAAUGAGAGACCGAUAUGAGUGCCACGCGAGUCCCAGGACAAUCCAUUCUACCAAAAUAGUUGGAAGUGCUGAAAUACUACUCAUACAGUUCAGUUUAUUUGUUGAAUUAAAAUUGUGAGGUAACACAGCGCUGUUUUACUUGGUCUAUUUUACUAUCAUACUAAACUGCAUUUGACUGUGUUUUAAGUUGUAAUGCUGUUCUAUGUAUUAGUCUGUUGACUGUAGGCUAGAUUAAAUAAUAAUAUUAUACUGAUGAUAUCUAACAUUUCAUCGAAUGCGAAUAUCGAUUGCGUGGAUCCCCUAUAAUUAUACACAUCAGUUUCCUGUGUUCACGUUACCUAGCCAUAUGCACUGUAGUUACAAGGACUUUUGACAUAAUUCUGUGUCUGCAUGUCCGUCCAAGCAGAUAGGAAAAUGGAUGGGAAAGUGAACACAUUUCAGUGUUAAAAAAAAAUGGCGUUCUCAACUACAGGACCUAAACACAUGCAACUACGCAUCAAACAUCAGAAUUACCCUGCCUGGUCAUUGUCAUGAUCAUGAGUUGGAGUGCCCUGUUUAGCCACCAGAGGGCACUCCAACAUGGACUUUUGUCACCUGUCAGAACUUCAUUUCCCAUAAUUCACCUCCUGGACUCAUUAUCCUUGUUUCAUUGAACCCAGCUGUUUUGUGUUUGCUCAUUAGUUCUGUCUAUUUAUACUCUGUUGUUUCUGCCUUUGUUUGUGGUUCGUUAUAAUUUGUAUUGUUACAUGCACUUUGUGUCUCUGGUUUUCUGUUUUUUUGUGGACUGUUUCUGUGGAGUUAACCCUUGCCUGAGUCUGGAUUACAUUUUGGAUUACCAUUAAAGCUGCCCUUGGAUCCUACAUCUUGUUUCUGUGCAUUCCGUGACAGUCAUAAGUAUUUCACUUGUGCUUAUCACACCCCAUCUCCUGUGCAGGGCACUUUACAGUUUUUCUCUUCACUAAGGUAUUGAACAACAAUACUCUCGUUGUUAUCCUUUGCAAAGGUUUGCUAGCUUUUGCAGGGAUCAAUGAGGUUAGCUAGUAAAGCGCUAUCAAGUAAAAUGUUUUCCCUUCUACAAUGACAUUAUACAACAAGGUUUCUCAGUCUUUAUCUGUGUCUAUGUAAAUUUAUGUAUAUUUCAAAUCCAUUAAAGGAUUGAUAGGCUGCAUAAAUUAGGUCAGCUGGAACCGGGAACACUUCCUAUAACACUAGAUGUACUGGUUACAUCAGAAGAAGAAUGGCAUCUACGAUAAUACUGGUCUCUCUGUUUAUGCCAAGGUUUAACAUAGUCAACCGGAUCCGGGCCGUAUCCAGGUGAGAUCGAAGACCUGUGCCUUGACACGACCACAACGCAGCCCUAAAGUAUCAGCAGAGAUUGAGUCAACUAGAUCAUCCGCUGUGAAAGCAUCAUCGACACAACAGCCAGUGGCACAGUUCCUCAACAAACCGUCCAUACCGGUGUGAUGAAUACGAUCCUCAACUGGAUGGAACUGGAAUAAAUACUUUGAAUGUUGCGAUCCCAUCGGACUUAUGAUAGCUACCUGAACCGUAACAAAGUACUGUUCGCCAGAGGAGAACUGGCCCCCCAACUAAGCCCGGUUUCUCCCAAGGAUUUUUUUUUUUUUUCCAUUUUUAA